rnacentral:rRNA from 1 species
GAUGAACGCUAGCGGCAGGCUUAAUACAUGCAAGUCGUGGGGCAGCACAGAGUAGCAAUACUUGGGUGGCGACCGGCAAACGGGUGCGGAACACGUACGCAACCUUCCUUCAGGCGGGGAAUAGCCCAGAGAAAUUUGGAUUAAUACCCCAUAAAAUUUUGAGAUGGCAUCAUCUUAUUAUUAAGGCUUCGGCACCUGAUGAUGGGCGUGCGGCUGAUUAGGUAGUUGGCGGGGUAACGGCCCACCAAGCCUACGAUCAGUAGCUGAUGUGAGAGCGUGAUCAGCCACACGGGCACUGAGACACGGGCCCGACUCCUACGGGAGGCAGCAGUAAGGAAUAUUGGUCAAUGGACGAAAGUCUGAACCAGCCAUGCCGCGUGGAGGAUGAAGGUCCUCUGGAUUGUAAACUUCUUUUAUAUGGGACGAAAAAAGGUCUUUCUAGAUCAACUGACGGUACCAUAUGAAUAAGCACCGGCUAACUCCGUGCCAGCCGCCGCCGUAACAC